rnacentral:rRNA from 1 species
CAGUCGCCGCGGUAAUACGAAGGGGGCUAGCGUUGUUCGGAAUUACUGGGCGUAAAGCGCACGUAGGCGGAUAUUUAAGUCAGGGGUGAAAUCCCAGAGCUCAACUCUGGAACUGCCUUUGAUACUGGGUAUCUUGAGUAUGGAAGAGGUGAGUGGAAUUCCGAGUGUAGAGGUGAAAUUCGUAGAUAUUCGGAGGAACACCAGUGGCGAAGGCGGCUCACUGGUCCAUUACUGACGCUGAGGUGCGAAAGCGUGGGGAGCAAACAGGAUUAGAGACCCGAGUAGUCCCUGUCUCUUAUAC